AAGUUUUUAAGAAGAAGGACAGCCUGGGAAGAUCACUGUGGCAGCAAUUAAAACUGUGAGGUGGGUAAAAAAUAGUUUGAGCCAGAACAACCUUUUAUGAAGAAAAAUUUUACUAUUCUGCAUUGGUACAGCCUGAUCAGGGCAAAUGUACUUUUUAGAAAAAUAAAAGAACGUGGUACUAGCAGCAAGUAACCUAAGGUAUCCCUCUGUCACUACUUUGCUAGACCAACCAAUAGCUAUGUAUUCCUAAAAGAACUCUUGAUAACACAGGAUCCAGCAGCUACAAUCCAAUGUCUAGAAUCGAACAGUUAAUCACAUACCCAAAAAAGAUGUAAUCUCAUCUACCUGUUCAGAGAGGACAUCCUCUGCAAACACAUAUGGUAGCAUAAGAAACUCAGCUAUGCUGUCAAGGGUAUCAGCAAUCUGACACCUGGGGCACGGGGAAGAGGAGUGGGUAGCAUCAUUUCUUCCAAGAGCCCAAACAGUCCCAGUCUCUGAAAGAAUUGGACACUUAACCACUCUUGCCUGCAACUGAUGUUUAUCUUUGUACCACACCACCGGAAGUCAAUACCAAAAACAUAAAAUCCAACAUCCAAUCGUGAAGAGGAAAGACUGAGAGCAAAACAGUCCUCAAACACCUUAUGGAGGAUAUGUGACAAGUGCCUGCCAGCUGGAUACACUUACAGUGUUCUUUGUUGGUGGCUAAUAUGGCCUACAGGACUGGGGAAGACUCUCACAUCUGGAAUCUUACUGUCACCACUGAGAGUUAAAUGUGUGAAGGCCCAUGGACUGAUUCACGGGACGGAUCAAGUGGCGCCCAACCGUGGGGCAGACCUGGCACAAAGGAUAACGACACGGGACCAUUCAUGGGAGUAAAGCGCUGGCCAGCGUGACUGUUUCGGGACUGCAUUCCUGUGAUCUGUGCAGACGGCCACCUUACGUCUCGCCUGAAUCAUGAUGGUACAACUUCUCAAAACCUUAUGGACCAUCGUUGGACUUUUGACACAACUACAUCUAAUGGACAACAACCCCCAUCAACCCUGGAAAUGGGAGCUUAGCCACUGGAAUCACCAAGAGAAGGUUUGGACUUUGGUAGGAUCAGGAAGUCCAUGGUUUGUGCCCACACCUGUUGGUUCUUUCUGGGGCUCCAAUGUCCCAAACAAAGUCAAUUUUACCUUUGUCCCACAGUAACAGAGGGAAGAUCAUAUUGUAAUUCCCCAGGAGAAUAUUUUUGUGCUCGUUGGGGCUGUGAAACAGUUGCACAGGGUGGCAACCAGCCUUCCCCAAUAAACACCUUAAACUGACAUAGGGGCCGCUGGGGUGCAGCCUAGAUGACUACCCACUGGCCAAUCAAAGACUCUGUCAGGUUCUUUUUUUUUUUUUUUUUUUUGUCUUUUUCGUUUUUAUUGGUACCAGGGAUGGAACUCACGACUGCCUGCUUGCAAGGCAGGCGCUUAUGCCACUGAGCUAAAUCCCCAUCCCCGACUCUGUCAGGUUCUAAACGUCACUGUCACCACUCCUGAAGACCCUGGCUGGCUGACAGGACGUACCUGGGGACUUCGAGUUUAUGAGUCGGCAAAGACAGGGGAAAUCUUAUUCUCAUAAAAAAGAUUCCCCUACAGAUUUCACCCACGCCCAUAGGCCCAAAUCCUGCUCUAAAGCCAAAAUAUAAUCCAAAUCCAAAAUACAAUCAGUCCAAUACAGAUCUUGUUACUGCUGUUCAAACAAACACAGUAAGUCACCCAACCAUAAGGGUUUCUCAAGCUCCGCCACACCAGGCAGAUCAUAUACCUGCCCCUCAAUAUUCACAUUCUAACCUAUUCAGUUUGAUUAAAGGGGCAUACAUGGCUUUAAAUCAUACCCAACCUGAUCUCACCCAAUCCUGUUGGUUAUGCUUGGCUGCUCCUCCCCCAUAUUAUGAAGGAAAGGCCCUCAAUUUAACCUUUAACGGUUCUUCUAGCUCAUCUGCCUGUGACUGGGGCAAUCACCACAAGCUGACUCUCCCUGAUGUCUCAGGUAGAGUCUUGUCUUGGGGAUUGCAGCCUCAGGACUUGUCUUGGGGAUUCCAGCCAUCCACCAGCACUGGCAGUAUGACUCUGUGCCCAGCUUCAUUCGGAGUUCAAGCCAAAUAAUUACCUCAUUCCACCCCCAGGAAUGUCUUGGGCCUGCAAUUUUGGCCUCUCACCCUGUAUAGCAACUACUGUUUUUAACAAGUCUACAGAUUUUUGUGUUCUUGUACAGGUUCUUCCUCGCAUAACCUUCCACCCAGGAGACUACUACCUCCAGGCAUCGCAGACCAGCUAUAUAUUUAAGAGAGAACCUGCGACACUCACCUUAGCUGUAUUACUGGGGUUAAGAGUCGCAACGGGAAUAGGAACAGGGACUACGGCUCUAGUGUUGGGAAAUCAGCAUCUAGCUCAAUUACAGGCAGCAGUAGAUCAGGAUUUAAAAGAAAUAGAAACAUCUGUGACGGCUCUACAGGCGUCCCUGAUGUCUCUAUCUGAGGUAGUCCUACAGAAUAGAAGAGGGCUAGACCUCCUAUUUAUGAAGGAGGGUGGCUUAUGUGCUGCCCUCAAGGAAGAGUGUUGUUUUUAUGCUGACCACUCGGGAGUCAUCAAAGAGUCCAUGAGUAAACUAAGAGUGCGCCUCAAAGAGAGAGAAAAAGAGGGCCUCGGAGAAACCACCUUCUCCUCCAUGUGGGGGGGUCUCUUCCCUUACAUUGCCCCCCUCUUGGGACCCCUAGCCGCCUUGCUGUUACUGCUUACUGUAGGACCUUGUAUUUUUCAGAGGAUCAUGAUGCUCAUUAAUAACGUUAAUAACAGGAUUGACACAUUUAUGGCAAAGCCCAUUCAGGUACAUUACCACCAGUUGGAAAUGGCAGAACAACAAACUUAUCGGGAAAGAUCACCCACCGACGGCCCACAUGAUACUGUGGCCCAAAUGCCCUGAGGCACUGGACAGGCAGCCAGAGACGGGCAACUAGGACACAUAUGUAGUGCCAAUCAGCCACCUAAGACAGGUCCAGGACCAACAGCUGUCCUGCAGGCCCAUGAUGGGUAAGGCUCGAAUGGGUUCAUAUGAGGAGUCCUUGACCCAAGACAGGCGCUGUCCUCCCAGGGCCUGCCAUGUUUCUAAAAAAUAUAUAAAAUAAUAAGGGAGGAGAUGUAGGGAGCGGCUCAGAAUGGCAGCUGCUGCCCUGCCCCUCCCACCUGAGGGCAUUUUCUGUGUCAGCCUACAUUUCCCAUGAUCCUCCCCUUGCCUACAAUGCACAUGACGUAAGCAACUUCCUGCUUCAGCCUACAUUUCCCAUGAUCCUCAUGUCUGCCUACAUUACCCAUAAUCCUCUCCUGCUUACAUCAUAUAUCCGGAAGUGACGAUGACCUAUCAGAUAACACUCCAUGCCCUCUUCCUGCCCCAUUGGCCCGCCUCUACCCUAUAUAAGUUGUAGCCAUUUUAAAAAUAAAUGAGACUUGAAUGGAA